rnacentral:tRNA from 1 species
CGCGGGGUGGAGCAGCCUGGUAGCUCGUCGGGCUCAUAACCCGGAGGCCGCAGGUUCAAAUCCUGCCCCCGCAACCA